rnacentral:sRNA from 1 species
UUUUAGCCCUGAUGGCAGUGACAUCCUUUCUUUGCCUUUUUAGGCAGAGAAAGAUAUAACGGACAGCAGGAUUAGCU